rnacentral:rRNA from 1 species
CCCUUAGAUGUCCGGGGCUGCACGCGCGCUACACUGAAGGAAUCAGCGUGCUAAAACCAUUGUCGAAAGGCAUUGGUAAACCCAUUAAAAUCCUACGUGAUUGGGAUCGGGAAUUGCAAUUAUUUCCCUUGAACGAGGAAUUCCCAGUAAGUGUGGGUCAUAAGCUCGCGUUGAUUACGUCCCUGCCUUUUGUACACACCGCCCGUCGCUGCCCGGGACUGAGCCGUUUCGAGAAAAGCGGGGACUGCUGCUGUCGGGGCUUUCGGGCCUUGGCUUCGGUGGAAACCGCUUUAAUCGCAGUGGCUUGAACCGGGCAAAAGUCGUAACA